UACGUAGGUGGCAAGCGUUGUUCGGAUUUACUGGGCGUAAAGCGCACGUAGGCGGACUAUUAAGUCAGGGGUGAAAUCCCGGGGCUCAACCCCGGAACUGCCUUUGAUACUGGUAGUCUUGAGUUCGAGAGAGGUGAGUGGAAUUCCGAGUGUAGAGGUGAAAUGCGUAGAGAUCGGGAGGAAGGCCGGUGGCGAAGGCGGCGCCCUGGCUCGCAACUGACGCUCAGACACGACAGCAUGGGGAGCGAACGGG
rnacentral:rRNA from 1 species